GAUGAACGCUAGCGGCAAGCUUAAUACAUGCAAGUCGAGGGGCAGCAUGACUGUAGCAAUACAGUUGAUGGCGACCGGCAAACGGGUGCGGAACACGUACAGAACCUUCCUUCGAGCGGGGAAUAGCCCAGAGAAAUUUGGAUUAAUACCCCAUAGUAUAUCAGAGUGGCAUCACUUUGAUAUUAAAGAUUUAUCACUUGAAGAUGGCUGUGCGGCUGAUUAGAUAGUUGGUGAGGUAACGGCUCACCAAGUCUGCGAUCAGUAACUGGUGUGAGAGCACGACCAGUCACACGGGCACUGAGACACGGGCCCGACUCCUACGGGAGGCAGCAGUAAGGAAUAUUGGUCAAUGGACGAAAGUCUGAACCAGCUAUGCCGCGUGGAGGAUGAAGGCCCUCUGGGUUGUAAACUUCUUUUAUGUGGGACGAAAAAGGGCCUUUCUAGGUCAACUGACGGUACCAUGUGAAUAAGCACCGGCUAACUCCGUGCCAGCAGCCGCGGUAAAAC
rnacentral:rRNA from 1 species